CAACGUGAGUCCAAUAUGUAGGGCUAACACUGAGCUAAUGGUACCUUUACAAGAAGAUUGAUGCAACAUGCACCAUCCUGUCACAAUCUGUCUAUCAUGUCCCUAGACCUAGAGUAAUCCAUGGCUCGUUCCGCACACCUAUAGCCACAGCCCACAUGCCGUACGUUUACUGUGCUAUCUGUCACGGCCAAACGUGCAAUAACCGUCUUUUUGUGCUAGCCCGGUCAGCGUAUGCACACCAUUAACUCUCGGGGCCAAUUGGUGCGCGGUGACGUGCGACCGGCGCCGCCUCCGCAUCCACGCAGCAAUCAUGCAUGGCGUGUUGACGCCGACGCCGACGCCGACGGUGACCGGAUUGGGCCGUCAGGGUUGCGGCCACACCGCCCGGCACUAGUAACGACGACGGACGAUCCCGGGUGGGUCACGCAGAGCAAUUGCUUGUGCGUCUGAAUUGGGCAGCAGUAGGCCG
rnacentral:lncRNA from 1 species